rnacentral:rRNA from 1 species
GACGAACGCUGGCGGCGUGCUUAACACAUGCAAGUCGAACGGAAAGGCCCUGCUUUUGUUGGGUGCUCGAUUGGCGAACGGGUGAGUAACACGUGAGUAACCUGCCCUUGACUUUGGGAUAACUUCAGGAAACUGGGGCGAAUACCGGAUAGGAUCUCCUGCUGCAUGGUGGGGGUUGGAAAGUUUCGGCGGUUGGGGAUGGACUCGCGGCUUAUCAGCUUGUUGGUGGGGUAGUGGCGUACCAAGGCUUUGACGGAUAGCCUGCCUGAGAGGGUGAACGGGCACAUUGGGACUGAGGGACGGCCCAGACUCCUACGGGAGGCAGCAGUGGGGAAUAUUGCACAAUGGGCGGAAGCCUGAUGCAGCAACGCCGCGUGCGGGAUGACGGCCUUCGGGUUGUAAACCGCUUUCGCCUGUGACGAAGCGUGAGUGACGGUAAUGGGUAAAGAAGCACCGGCUAACUACGUG